AGUAUUGCAUGUAGUUUGAAGACAAAGGGAAUUGCUAAACUAAGACUUGGAUAACGUUAGCACAGGACAUCUCAGUUAUGUGUCGAGGUCGACGAGUUUAGGCUGUAUAGUGGAGUACCGAAUCAUGAGAAAGUCGAACAAAUCGAUUUAGACUUUCUAAACAUUUAUACAAUUAAUAACUUGCAAAUAUUCGGGACAUAUGACACGAAUUAAGUCAUGCAAAAUAUCAUAGAACAUGUGUUUAAAGUCUUCAAUAUAAGUUGCACAAGUAGCUAAAUGUGAUCCACACUGGCUUUGAGUAAGGCCAGUAUGUCUAUAUUACGCGGAUAACUCAACACGUCAGCCACUACAGGGACUGAAAUUACUGCAACACCUAACAAAAAGCUGCAGUUAGUUUCGGGAAUGGGUCGCAAGGAAUAAGUUAGUCCUAAAUAUUUCCAAAACUAAAAACAUUGUAUUUGGAACAAGUCGUAAUGAAAUUGAGCAAGUUGAGGUGACUAAACUGCUUUGCGUAACCAUGGAUUAGUCAAAACAUAUUGAUACAACAGUAGCUAAAAUGGGGAGAAGUCUGUCCGUAAUAAAGCACUGCUCUGCCUUCUUAACAACACUAUCAACAAGGUAGGUCCUACAGGCCCUGGUUUUGUCGCUCCUGGGCCCUGUUUCAGAAAGCAGGUCUAACAAACUCUGAGUUUAAACCCGAACUCUGAACUGUCAAACUAUUGAGUUUUCUUUUCAGAACAGCUGAUAACAAUUAGUUCAAUCAACUCUGUUAAAUUAACCCUGAGUAAAGCACGUGCAUGAGGAGAUAAAAAGCCCUCAUGAAUGGAACACAGAUAACAUGAUUCAUCAUCACAACAGGAGAAAAAAAAUAUCGAACCUCCUACUUAUCCCUAGUGGAGUUAGAAAUAUUAAUGAAUGCGUAUACAGAUGAUGAAUAUAUUGUAACGACCCUGGGUUUAUAAGCGCGGACAUCGACUCUGCCGCACGAGCAUGCUUUUGCGGCACAGUCGAUAGCGCGCCAGACCUCUGUCUCGAAGGUCGGGGGUGACCUGCUUCCUGCUGUUUCAUUACAAAAUAUUUAAGUAAAGAAGUAGCAACAGCAAAAUAACGUGAGCUGGCGUGGCAGAAAGUUGCUGACCGAGUCAAUGUGUGCAACCCAACAUGCAGAAAACGUAUUUGGCAUCAACUGAAGAUGAAAUAUAAAAAAUAUACUUCAAACGGGUAAGCCAAUAGAAAAAAGGCUGAGGGCUGAAGAAAAGGUGGGGGUCCACCACCACUCCGGCUAAAGAGAUGGCCCUCAGUCAAAACAGUGGGAGACCUAUUGCUAAAGGCAUCUCUGGAGGAACCUCAUCUGACCCAACCACCCCAAGGGUGGGCCUACAUAAGAGAUUCUUAGUUGUCCUUCAGACAUCAUAAUCUAUUUUAAGCUACUGAUGGUGUAAUCUGUCUGGUGGAGCCUCCUGCCAUAACAGACCUCCAUGCAGUUGAGAAUGAUGAAGACACCUUGUUAGCUGCCACAGAGGGAAGCUACAGAGAGGCCUAUUGAGAGCAAUGCUGGAAAUUACAAUGAGGAAGAGGGUCUAUCCACCUCCACAGUACAACUUACCUCAGUAAGAUGUUAUUCAGCAUUGGCCCAUGAUUUUACAAUGAAACUAAGUAGACCUGGCACUGUGAAAUUCUAUGUCAUUUUUUUGUGUUCCUAUAGUUCCAUGUGAACAGCUGUACUUAGAGAAACACAUUUAAAGAUGUAAUUUAGAAAUUGACCACAUACGGCUGCAGAUGCAAGAACAUAGAAAUACAACAGCUGGAACAUCAGUUAAAGGUGGGUGAGGUGCAUACAGGUGGAUGAUUUUAGUUGGUUGAACAACAUAAAUAUUAACUACUGUACUGCAUUUGCACUGGCAGGAAAUAAAGACUCCUUCAUAAAAAGAAAGGCAUUGUCUUUGUUUGACACUGGGGAGGUGAUUGGUCAGUCAGAAAUGAUGGUCGCAUAUUGUGUCUCUUCCAUCUGGUGCUUCAGCGGGGUGGUCAGGCUCAUUAUCAGGAUCGUUCACUGGUUGAAUAGGACAUUGUUCUCUAAUUGUGGCAAUGUUGUGGAGAAUCACACAUGCCACACUAAUGUCACAUGCCCUUUCUGGAGUGACCCUGAGAUUACGAAGGUACUGUAACUGGGCCUUGAGCAUCCCAAUGGUCAUCUCUACCAUGGCUCAUGUCCUGCAGUGAGCCAAGUUAUAAUGUUGCUGUGGGCCAGGGUAAGGGGUCAGCAAAUAGGUCUGGCAGGGGUACCCUCUGUCACUGAGCAGGUAACCAUCAAACUCUCCUAUGAUAAUACGGUUUACAUUUUCAGUUGCAAUAGGUGGAAAGAAAAUAAUGAUUAUAAUAGGAUAUAGCUAUAUAUAAACUCACCAUGGGCAAAGCUAGCGCUCAGUGUACACUCACAGAAAAUCUGCGAGUCAUACACAGACCCAAGUCACUUUGCUUCCGCAUUGCUGAUGAUGUGGGCUGCAUCACAUAUAAUCUUCAGUGCAGAACAGUAAUUAGUUGCGGUAGCUGUAUUGUGAAGUAUCUUUCAUUUGGAAGACUUCAUAUUCUCAUAAUCUCCUUCAUUUACUGAAGGAGCUGUGAUGGGAAUAAGAGUGCAAUCUAUGCAGCGAAUCACACAUGGAAGCCCUAAAAUAUAAAAAAUAACUGACUAGACGGAUACAGGGAAUUCUUCUUUGAGUCUUGUGGGUCUGUGACUUGGGAACACUACAAAAGUGCACAGGAAACGUUUCAGUGCAAGAGUCCCAUUUCUGACAAGCCCGACAGACUGUUGCCUUGGACAUAUGCUCAGCGUCACCAAUGUUCUCAACUCCCGUUGGCAACAAAAAAAAAACUAAGUGGAACACAGAAUUUGUUCCGAACUGAGAGCAUGUCCACGAUGUGUCAUAUGAACGAUAUGAGGGCUGAUAAUAUUGUUCAGAUGAAUGAUCCAUGUUGUUUAGCUUGUGAGGUGUGGAAAUACUUUGUUGCUUUUAUGAAUUGUGUUCUGUCUGUAUGCUACGUCUUGUCCUGUUGCUCUGCGUGUGCUCAAUGAUUGUCUAUUGUAUUUUUUUUUUAAUAACCUGUGGUUGAAAAUUAACCGGUGAGUUAUUAGCCCAGUUAUAGAGAAGUAUAGGUCAGCAAUGGGGAGUUACUGCUUCCUACAAAAUGUGUAGGCUACAUUUCAAGAUGUCUUUGAAAAGCCAGUCAGGUAAAACGCUCAUGUCUUAAUUAAAGGAGCAGUGUUGUAUUUUGAAACAGGCUUGAAUAUGCAAAUAAGCCAAUGGGCAGAG